rnacentral:rRNA from 1 species
CACGUAGGGUGCGAGCGUUGUCCGGAAUUAUUGGGCGUAAAGAGCUCGUAGGCGGUCUGUCGCGUCGGUCGUGAAAACCUGCAGCUUAACUGUGGGCUUGCGGUCGAUACGGGCAUGACUGGAGUUCGGCAGGGGAGACUGGAAUUCCUGGUGUAGCGGUGAAAUGCGCAGAUAUCAGGAGGAACACCGGUGGCGAAGGCGGCGACCUGGUCCUUUACUGACGCUGAGGCGCGAAAGCGUGGGGAGCAAACAGG